ensembl:lncRNA novel transcript, antisense to PTPRT
UUUCUCAGAUGUGAGUCUAGAAGAGGAGCAUGAUCUUGUGCCAGACUGAAGUGAACACAUAGCCCAAUCUGUAAGAAGGGGCAGAAUGGCAUGCCUUUCAUCCACACAGCAUUUAGGGAAUGCUUAAAAACAAGCAAUUUCAUUAUGAACGGUUAACUUUAGCUUCGGCCAUCAUCCUGAAAAGGGACAUCAUAAAUUCCUAUGAAAAAGUCUCUCCUUCACUUUGCUGAACUAAAUUCAACAAACAAAUCUCAUCUACCUAAGCUUAAAACAUCUAGAUUUAAAUACAUGAAAACGCUGACGUUUUUCUUAGGGUUAUGAGAAUAUAGUUCUCUGCUCUCAAUCACUAGGAGUGUUUAGCAGUCAAUCUCCCCUCCUAUCUGCCCAGGUAGCAGGAGUCAAGAACCACGAUUACAUCCAUUUUCCCAGCAAGUUCCUCACCAAUAGUUCACUAACAAGGAGACAUCCUGGCUACCUCUGGGACCCCCUCAAAGACCUCCACUUGACAACACAAAGCAGACAGUACUACACCCUUAUUACAGAUGAGGACACCAAGGUUACCUAGAAAGCAGC